rnacentral:rRNA from 1 species
AGUGAACGCUGGCGGUAGGCCUAACACAUGCAAGUCGAACGGCAGCACAGUAAGAGCUUGCUCUUACGGGUGGCGAGUGGCGGACGGGUGAGGAAUACAUCGGAGUCUACUUUUUCGUGGGUGAUAACGGAGGGAAACUUACGCUAAUACCGCAUACGACCUACGGGUGAAAGCAGGGGAUCUUCGGACCUUGCGCGAUUGAAUGAGCCGAUGUCGGAUUAGCUAGUUGGCGGGGUAAAGGCCCACCAAGGCGACGAUCCGUAGCUGGUCUGAGAGGAUGAUCAGCCACACUGGAACUGAGACACGGUCCAGACUCCUACGGGAGGCAGCAGUGGGGAAUAUUGGACAAUGGGCGCAAGCCUGAUCCAGCCAUACCGCGUGGGUGAAGAAGGCCUUCGGGUUGUAAAGCCCUUUUGUUGGGAAAGAAAAGCAGCAGGUUAAUACCCCGCUGUUCUGACGGUACCCAAAGAAUAAGCACCGGCUAACUUCGUG